AAUAAGAAAGGGAUAAAGAGAUGGCUUACAAUCGCCACUUCACACAAUACAUAAAUAUAGCAUUACAUCAUCCAGAUACAAUCAAGGUCCGACUACGGAACCAAAAUAAAGACAACCCCAAAUGCUAGAUCCUCGAUCGCCCGACUGGGCUCCACUACUGACCAACUGGAAACGAAACAACACAACGCACACGAUCUUCAUCGAGCUCCUCCUUGAGCUCGGUUGCGUCACCUGCACUAGUAUCAUCGGCACCUGAAACUGGUUUUGGAAGUAAACUGUGAGUCACGGGGACUCAGCAAUCUCACACCCUCGCGAUCAAGACUAUUUAAGCUUAUGGGUAGGAAAAAGGUAGUGAGGUGGAGCUGCAGCAAGCACUAGCAUAUAUAGUGGCUAACUUACGCAAAUAAGAGCGAGAAGAGAAGCAAUGCAACGGUCGUGAACUAAAAGUGAUCAAGAAGUGAUCCUGAAACUACUUACGUACAAGCAUUACAAAAGAACCGUGUUCACUUCCUGGACUCCGCCGAGAAGAGACCAUCACGGCUACACACGCGGUUGAUGCAUUUUAAUUAAGAUAAGUGUCAAGUUUUCUACAAGCAGAUAUUAACAAAUUCCCAUCUGCCCAUAAAUGCAGGCAUGACUUUCAAAAGUUCAAAACCCUGCAGGGGUGUCCCAACUUAGCCCAUCACAAGCUCUCACGGUCAACGAAGGAUAUUCCUUCUCCCAGGAAGACCCGAUCAGACUCGGAAUCCCGAUUACAAGAUAUUUCGACAAUGGUAAAACAAGACCAGCAAAGCCACCCAAAUGUGCCGACAAAUCCCGAUAUGAGCUGCACAUAUCUCGUUCUCAGGGCACAUUGGAUUGUCCAAACUUCCGGUAGGCCAACCCAGAGUUGCCCCUGGUGGCCACCGGCGACUGACAGGUUGGACCAACACUCAGAGGAGCACUAGCCCGGGGGGGUUAAAAUAAAGAUGACCCUCGGGCUCCAGAAAUCCAAGGGAAAAAGGCUAGGUGAGGCAAAAAUGUAAACCAAGGUUGGGCCUUGCUGGAGGAGUUUUAUUCAAAGCGAACUAUCAAGGGGUCCCCAUUAUCACCCAACCGCGUAAGGAACGCAAAAUCAAGGAACAUAACACCGGUAUGACGGAAACUAGGGCGGCAAGAGUGGAACAAAACACCAGGCAUAAGGCCGAGCCUUCCACCCUUUACCAAGUAUUUAGGUGCAUUAAUUAAAUAAGAGAUACUGUGAUAUCCGAACAUAAUCAUGUUCCAACAUGGAACAAACUUCAUCUUCACCUGCAACUAACAACGCUAUAAGAGGGGCUGAGCAAAGCAGUAACAUAGCCAAACAAUAGUUUGCUAGGAAAGGUGGGUUAAAGGCUGACAUGGCAAUAAUAGGAGGCAUGAUAUAGCAAGUGGAAGGUAUCGCGGCAUAGCAAUAGAGCGAGCAACUAGCAAGCAAAGAUAGAAGUGAUUUCGAGGGCAUGGUCAUCUUGCCUGAGAUCCCGCAAGGAAGAAGAACGAGUCCAUGAAGAAGACAAACAGACGUAG
rnacentral:lncRNA from 1 species